AUGAAGGUGUUCGUAGGUGGCCUGGCGUGGGAGACGAGCAAGGAGGGCAUGCGCGUCCACUUCGAGCGCUUCAGCGAGAUCCUCGAGGCCGUCGUCAUCGCCGACAAGGGCACCGGCAGAUCCAAGGGCAGCAGAUUCUUACGUUCUGGAGGCAGAGGCGGACAUCAAGACAUGGUGAAUGACGUCCAGAGGGCCAACUGCAACCUCGCCUACCUUGGGAUCCAGAGGUCCAAGGCACCACAACCAACUGCCUCUGCAUCCAUAUUCUGGUGUCAAGUAGUUGGCCAUUUGGCGGAAGUCAGGUGCGGAAGGGCGCAGAUCAGUAUGGCCCGUGUGGGGUUCGGGGAUUACCAUUUUUGCGAGCUCUGCGAGGACGCUGGAGGCGCGGUCGGCGUGGCGUCACGAGAAGCAGUGGUGGAUGGCGUCGACUUGCGUGCGGACCUCGCGGGCGACCGCCUCCUGGGAGUGGCGGCAGAAGAUCUCGGGGCCGAAGGAGCCCUCGUCGUCCUUGUCGUCUUCAUGGGCAUCGGCGUUUCCGAGCGGCGACGAGACGACGGCGGCGGCGGCCAAGACAGACUGCGCUUCUGUGCCUUGCGUCGCGAGCGCUGGGGUGCUUGUCGAAGGCGGGGGAGGGGGGAGGGCAGAAGCAAAGAGGUGGGCCGGUUCAGGGAGAGGAGGGCCCGGACGGCGCCGUCGAGGGGAGGGGAGGCGCCAUGGAUGGGAGUAGCUGUGAGGGGAGAAGGUGAGAGGAGCGGCUCUGAGUGGAGAAAGUGA
rnacentral:rRNA from 1 species